UCAGGGGCUUGGCUGUUCGCGCUCAACUCAUCGAAACGGAAGCGGUUACCAUAGUUUCGGGGGGAGCCCUGUAGGGGCAAGAGCGUUGGUUUUUGCAUCCAUGCUAGUUUUGGAUCGAGCGGGAAUGAUAGAUCGCGGCAGGAGUUUCAUUAGUAGCGGAGGCUCGGUACCAGCUGGGUUCAUCGAGGGGAGCUGAGCCUAUCCCGGGUGGGGAACUGGUAUCGCAGCAGCUAGGGCAGAUGGAGUAGCAUUGACGCAAAUACUUCUAAAUCAUCCUAUGCAUUAGCACUGGAACCGGCAUUCCCAUCACUACUCCAGGCAACCUUCAACGACCUGCAGCGGGUACUGUCCCCCUGCAUCAUAGGCAUAUGAUCAAAUGCAUUCGACCAAUCGUUCAUCCAUGGUAAUGGAAACACUUGGAUGCAGUUAUCAACAACAACGGGAAGGGCUAUCAUGAGUAUGGUGGGAAGUUUGUCGAUGAAUCUUAUAGUUUGCAGUUUCUAUGCCCUGGCCGUCUUCUUCAACCUGUUUGCACUACAAUUCAGCAUUCUUACAUUGAGAUGCAAACUGUUCAAUCAGCUUGGAGAGAAAUCUAGGUCUAUACUGUAAACCGGUUAGCACAAAUGUUAUUUGUCUUCACAUUAGUGGAGUAGUGGUUGGAGAAAAAGAGAGUAGCACAUGCAUCACAUAAUGUUGUCAUAGAGGAGAACUCAAAGCCUCUAAAUUUAGUUGGCACUGAUAGUAACUAGAAUGGUGUACAAGGAUAUGCUCAUUAUGUUAGGAUCUUGAUCCAACCUAUUGUUAUUCGUCUUCACAUUAAUGGAGUAGUGGUUGGAGAAAAGAGAGUAUCAUAUGCAUCACACAAUGUUGUCAUACAGGAGACUUGAAGCCUCUAAACUUAGUUGGCAUUGAUAGUAACUGUAAUGGUGUACAAGGAUAUGCUCAUUAUAGUUACUGACAGUUUGGGCCAGAGUUUAUGAUCAGCCAAGGCAGUUUUCUCUCAUUGUUUGAUACAAGCAGUAAAAGAAAAGGAGAUGUGAAACCUGUACCAGUUUUUCUUGGACAUGGAACUGGGAGUUCGAAGCCUCUGCAAUUCAAUUCAACUUCAAUAAUGUUCUGAGCACUGGCCUAUCUAUUGCAAAUUAACAAAGGCAUCGAUAGGUCUCAAAAGAAUGUUUGGAGGGCUGGUGUUCAGAGGCAUGCAUAUAAUCACGUGUCAAAGUGAUUUGCUUCUGGUCAUGAAAAGCAUCAAUGUAAUAAAAAAGGUAUGCUUUUAUCUUGUGGAUUUUUGGUGGAUUAUCCAGAUAUAUUCUCAUUUGGAUAUCAUUGUCAUCAGAGUUACAAAUAGUCUUGAACAGGUCUUUCCAAAUAUACGUGUUUGGGAUGCAUUGUCCAAACACACUGUUAUUUCCUGUAAUAUUGUAAUUCAAUUAAAUAUUUGAUUACAAUAUGAGGUAAACUGGAGCAUUUUCUAAUAUAUUAUUUAUAAUUUAU